UUAUUCCAAGGUUUGUGGAGUGAAGAAUUUGUUAAGCCAAGUUCAAUUUUCCAGGUUUCAUCUUGCAUCAUGCAAGUUAAAAGAAUGACAGCAUUCGAGUCUCCUGAUAACCAAAUUAAUUGCAGCAGCUUCUUAGGCCUUCUAAAAUGAUUGGCUUCACCUGCAAGGAGAUAAGGACUAAAAUGAUUGGCUUCAACUGCAAGGAGAUAAGGAUUGGCUUCAACUGCAAGGAGUUAAGGACUAAAAUGAUUGGCUUCAACUGCAAGGAGAUAAGGACCGAUCCCCAAUUUCCAAGUUGAGGUUUGAGGAUCACCUGUUUCCAAUUUUCUGGGAAAUUGCUCUUUUCAAGGUACAUGUCAGAUUUGUACAUCCAACUUUAAAUAGUAAAAGUUUUUCAGUGGACUACGG
rnacentral:lncRNA from 1 species